UGCGUAGGUGGCGGGGUAAGUUUGAUGUGAAAGCUCCGAGCUCAACUCGGAAAUUGCAUUGAAUACUAUCUUGCUAGAGGGUUGAAGGGGGGACUGGAAUUCUCGGUGUAGCAGUGAAAUGCGUAGAUAUCGAGAGGAACACCAGUGGCGAAGGCGAGUCCCUGGACAACUCCUGACACUGAGGCACGAAAGGCUAGGGGAAGCAAACA
rnacentral:rRNA from 1 species